GGGAAAAAAAAACUAAACUAAAGGAAAACACCACCACAACAAAAACACCAACAAAGUCUAUUACCAAACAUAUUGCAAAUUGUGUUUAAUACCAUCACUUUUGCAAAAUGAUUUUAAAUCCAUAUCUCAGAUUCCCAGCCACAACUAAGAUCACAUGCAAUACUAAUUAUACGCGUGUAAAAACAGCCCAAAAUAUAUACCAUGCCUUCAUUGCUCGCUUUAGCUCUUCAGAAUGGUCGAACAAACUCGCGCAAUAUCGACGGCGAAAUUUUGGACAACGGCUAGGGAUUAUGUCAUGAACAGGAACCUUAUAUGCACAACAUUCCAUGUAUUUCAUUGCCAUUACCCCACAACCAUGUUCAUUCACCUACCUCGGUGGGCUGUCGAAUUCAAUCACCUGCCACCUUUCAUUUGAUGCAUCACUUGAACUGGCAUGAGGAGCACACAAACCAGCCAUAGUACAAAUGACAGGCAAGUUCUUGGCAACAUUUUUGAAAUGUGCCACAACAUAUUUCCAAUUCUACUUCAGCGAAUUGUAAACUGUAAUUAGGCGCUCAUGUAAUGAAAUGUCAAAGAAUACCCAGUGGUUAUUGUUGAUGUACGCAACACCGAAAAUGAUUUUAUUAGAAUACUUACACACAAUUUUCAUUCAUUAAACAAUAUCACGAAAUCCUCGAACUACUAUUUAAUUUGCAUUUUCGUCAAUAUCACAAUAUUAAAAGGUAGAAUACUUACUUGAUUUGAAGAAGAAGCCAUAGCCGUGAAUUAUUCUAUCUAUCUCUCUGUAAAUUUCAUAGAGCAAAUUGCAAAUUUGUAAAUAAUCACUUCGUGAAUUAUUUUUGAUAGAUAAUCAAAGUGGAAAAUCAUGAAAAUUAUUCUCAUGAAAAUUUGCAAAUAAACACGCAUAAGCUUACCUCACCAACAAUUGGACUACACAACAAGCAAAC
rnacentral:lncRNA from 1 species